rnacentral:rRNA from 1 species
AUGCACUAUGAUGAGCGGUACACACCAUACGUAAGGGAGUCAGGAUUGCUCCCUUUCAUUCAGCUGGUCAGCCGGUCAACGCCGAACCUCAAUGCUGCAGCAAUCACCUCGCUUGUUGAUCGUUGGAGGACGGAGACACACAGUUUCCAUCUUCGGACCGGCGAGAUGACUGUGACGCUCCAGGAUAUUGCUAUGAUCGCCGGUCUUCCUAUCGAGGGGAAUCCUCUUUGUAUGAGCACUAAUUCUGAUGGGUGGCGCCAGCAGAUGGAGGCCCUUAUUGAAGGAAAUAUGCCCUAG